CCUACGGGAGGCAGCAGUCGAGAAUUAUUCACAAUGGGGGAAACCCUGAUGGUGCGACGCCGCGUGGGGGACUGAAGGUCUUCUGAUUGUAAACCCCUGUCAUGUGGGAGCAAAUUAAAAAGAUAGUACCACAAGAGGAAGCGACGGCUAACUCUGUGCCAGCAGCCGCGGUAAUACCGAGGUCUCAAGCGUGGUUCGGAAUCACUGGGCGUAAAACGUGCGUAGGCUGUUUCGUCGGUCGUGUGUGAAUGGCGCGGGCUCAACCCGCGGACGGCACAUGAUACUGCGAGACUAGAGUAAUGGAGGGGGAACCGGAAUUCCCGGUGUAGCAGUGAAAUGCGUAGAUAUCGAGAGGAACACUCGUGGCGAAGGCGGGUGCCUGGACAUUAACUGACGCUGAGGCACGAAGGCCAGGGGAGCGAAAGGGAUUAGAUACCCGAGUAGUC
rnacentral:rRNA from 1 species